AUGAAAAUCAAUGGUUGGAAGGAAAUAAUGUUAUUUUUUGGAGGUAAGGAAAUUCGUCUCAAAUCUGUUAUUCAAGCUAUUCCCACCUAUGCAAUGUCAGUCUUCAAAAUUUCUAAAUGGAUUUGUGAAAGAAUUACUGACGCGAUGUCACAUUUUUUGUGGGGAGACGAGGACAAUCAGAGGAGGGUGCAUUGGAUGGAUUGGCGGAAAAUGUGUCCAAAAAAUCAAGGAGGUAUGGUUCGUGAUAUUCAUUGCUUUAAUCUAGCAAUGCUGGUAAAACAGGCUCGGUGUCUUCUUGAGAACUCUGAUUCUAUAUGUACCACUUUUUUGAGAGCUAGUAUUUUCCUGGUGUUAAUUUGUUGA
rnacentral:rRNA from 1 species